GAUGAACGCUGGCGGCGUGCCUAAUACAUGCAAGUCGAGCGAACAGAUAAGGAGCUUGCUCCUUUGACGUUAGCGGCGGACGGGUGAGUAACACGUGGGUAACCUACCUAUAAGACUGGGAUAACUUCGGGAAACCGGAGCUAAUACCGGAUAACAUUUGGAACCGCAUGGUUCUAAAGUGAAAGAUGGUUUUGCUAUCACUUACAGAUGGACCCGCGCCGUAUUAGCUAGUUGGUAAGGUAACGGCUUACCAAGGCAACGAUACGUAGCCGACCUGAGAGGGUGAUCGGCCACACUGGAACUGAGACACGGUCCAGACUCCUACGGGAGGCAGCAGUAGGGAAUCUUCCGCAAUGGGCGAAAGCCUGACGGAGCAACGCCGCGUGAGUGAUGAAGGGUUUCGGCUCGUAAAACUCUGUUAUUAGGGAAGAACAAACGUGUAAGUAACUGUGCACGUCUUGACGGUACCUAAUCAGAAAGCCACGGCUAACUACGUG
rnacentral:rRNA from 1 species